AGAAUCAACGCUGGCGGCGUGCCUAACACAUGCAAGUCGAACGAGAAAGGGACUUCGGUCCUGAGUACGGUGGCGCACGGGUGAGUAACACGUGACUAACCUACCCUGGAGUGGGGAAUAACUGAGGGAAACCUUAGCUAAUACCGCAUAAUACCUACGGGUCAAAGGAGCAAUUCGCUUCAGGAGGGGUCGCGGCCGAUUAGCUAGUUGGCGGGGUAAUGGCCCACCAAGGCAAUGAUCGGUAU
rnacentral:rRNA from 1 species